GGCUGACCCUUUCGCGGAAUAUUCAACAUGGUGGCCAUGAGUUGUGUUUCGAUUUGAUGUGAAUUAUAGAAGGCAUUUUUUUCAGUCAUCCUGAGGUGAUCGAAAUAUAAUAACACAGUGAAUAUGUAUAUUAGGGGACCACACGCGUUCUGUUGUAAUGGCGAAUUGUAUGAAGCCUUUAUUGACGAGAAAUCGCGAGUAAACAUAAAUGUUUAUUACGUGACCAGGAGCAGGACUUCACCAGCUGGAUUGACAUUCCGUGAAAACUUCGUGUAUAUGUCGAAAGGAAAAGAUCUCAUCAUUCAAGAAGUUGGGACUUUUAUAGAUUCAAACAGUGGAAUGCAGAAACCGUUUAUACUUGUUCGUGAUGCUAUGUCUCAAACUCAUUACAUAUUAGCCGUUACAAACAUUCCAGGUGACACAAACACAUCUCCUAAGAACACACUCUCAGCCAUACGUUCAUUGUUAUUUAAGAAGGAAGAGUUAGUAAGUAUGAUAAAAGUUUUUGAUGGUCCUCUGAUUGUUUGGACGUGUGAUGAAAAGGUCAAUAUAGGAUUUACUACGAAACAAGAGCAAACAACUUUUGAGAAAAAGUCAUUUCCAGUUUUAGAUUUAGAUAAAAGUCGUGCAAAUUUCACUGUAAUCUCAACAGUAUUAACUAAUGAUGAAAUUUUAAUGUUCAUCAAAUAUUCAUGUAAACAGCAACAGAGUGAGGAAGAAGAUUUAUUCCAAGGGCACGAAGGAGACGACAUUGCAUUUGAGGUUUGGUCAAUAAAGCCAAAUACAGAUAAUAACACAUGGACACAGAGAAAACUAGAUUCCUCAUGCUUUUUACCACAACAGUAUGCAUGUACAGUGGUAGAUUGUAAGGUGAAGAUAAAAUCAAACAAUUUGUCAAAUGGAGAUGAACAGCCCUUGAGUGAUGUUGUGUUGUUAUUGGAUGGAGGAUAUAUUGUAACACUUGCAAAUGGAUGUCUGAUGAACUGUUGCCAUGUGAACACCUCUUUAACAAGUUUCCAAGAAUGGAAUUUUGUUGGUGUAUUUGAUUCAACGACUGUUGUGAUAAAGACGUCUCAAUCCGAAGUGAUUGUAGUGGAUUAUGGGAGCGGGAAGGUCACAAAGACAUGGUCAGAAGUGUCUAACAUCAUGAUUGGGGACUUCCUCCAGUACGGACAUCAUCAGAUACUGGUCACCUUCACUGAGGAAUCAUCAGAUGAUGAAGGCAGCUCCUGGAUGUUGACAGAUCUAGCUAUGUGUGAUAUAGACUCCAGUCGAUGGGCAUCUGGGAUGGAAGUUGACCACAGUGAUGACAGCUGUAGUAAAGGAAAAGCAUCAGCUCUCAAGGCACUGUCUAACAAUCUUCAGAGUUCAACAACAAACCUGUGCAGUGCUGAGCAGCAUCUGUCCAACAAGGUCAAGUUCCUGCACAGCACCUGGGCACAUCUGCAGCACCUGAGUGGAGGAGGGGAGACAACUCUUCCCCAGCCAGAGGUUCCACUAACCACCUUGAAAGACGAUGGUUCAUUGACAGCCAACAUGACAGGCAAGAAGCCUCCAGGCAUAAAGACUACAGUCAGCUGGCAGACAUCUGUGGGCUGCCAUCGUGUCAUCGGAGUUGAUGUACACAAUACCUCCAACAGAACUCUGAGUUGCUGCACUUUGUCACUGGUUCAACAUUCAACAAUGACUGAAACCAGAAGUAUGUCAUCACAAUCAAAAUGGCUGCCACAUGAGUCUUUUGAGCAGACAGAUGAGAAAAGAACACCUGAAAAACAUGCAUCUAAGAGGCUGAGACUCAGCCCGCUUUUAACUCUGCCUAUCAUGCAGCAGAAGGGACAGCCACUGAGACCAGGUGACAAAAAGACUUUAACAGUCAGCUUUGAUGGAGAGCAGGCUGGGGUACAAGAUGGCUGGAAGCUGUGGGUGUUCCUGACCACCUUGGAACAUGGUCCUACUGGUCCGGAGUCUGGAGAUCAGGUGAUGGAGGGAAGUCAUAGAGAACGGACCAUUUGUUGUGGAUCUGUGUCCAUGACAACAAAGGAUUAUCUCAAGGGGACAUAUUCAAUUGCACCUGAUUUGACAAGUGGCAGUGUGAGAGAAAAGCAGGGUGUUUCCCAGAGAUGUCACAGAGAUUUCCCAGCUGCAGACGACAAACAAGGAAAUGGAAGACGUAUUUGAGGACACACAAAAAAAGAAGCCCCGCAAGGCUAACUGCACUGCCUCCGAGAUGGAGAUGCUAGUCUCGGAGAUCCUGACAUAAUACAGGCAUCAUUGUCAGCUGUCCAGACCUGCACCACUCUGCUGCUGACAUCAGUCUUCACAGACCUCACCCAUACUGCAGGCAUCAUUGAGGCUCAGACAGACUUUCAGCUUGCUGUCUCACUAGGCU
rnacentral:misc_RNA from 1 species